CACCCGCCCGUCACACAUGGGAGUUGGGUUUCACCCGAAGGCAGUGCGCUAACCGCAAGGAGGCAGCUGACCACGGGUGGGGAUCAGCGACUGGGGGUG
rnacentral:rRNA from 1 species